AACUUUUGGCAAUGGAUCUCUUGGUUCUGGCAUCGAUUAAGAACGCAGCGAAAUGCGAUAAGUAAUGUGAAUUGCAGAAUUCAGUGAAUCAUCGAAUCUUUGUACUCACAUUGCGCCCUGUGGUAUUCCGCAGAGCUUGCCUGUUCGAGCGUCAUUUAACCACUCACGCCUCGCUUGGUAUUGGGGCACGCGGUCUCGCGGCCCUCAAAAUUAGUGGCGGUGCCGGUGGGCUAUAAGCGUAGUACAUACUCCCGCUAUAGAGUUCCCCCGGUGGCUCGCCAGAACCCCCAAUUUUUUACAGGUUGACCUCGGAUCAGGUAGGGAUACCCGCUGAACUUAAGCAUAUCAAUAAGCGGAGGCU
rnacentral:misc_RNA from 1 species